UGCUUUGUGGUGUAGUGGUCAGCACGUUCGACGUAUUCGAGAGGUCCGUGGUUCGAAUCCCGGCGAGGGUA
rnacentral:tRNA from 1 species